GCUGGAAUCGCUAGUAAUCGCGGAUCAGAAUGCCGCGGUGAAUACGUUCCCGGGUCUUGUACACACCGCCCGUCACACCAUGGGAGUCGGAAAUGCCCGAAGUCGGUGACCUAACUGAAAGGAAGGAGCCGCCGAAGGCAGGUCUGGUGACUGGGGUGAAGUCGUAACAAGGUAUC
rnacentral:rRNA from 1 species